rnacentral:tRNA from 1 species
UCUAAAAUGGCAGAUUAGUGCAUUGGACUUAAACCUCAAAUAUAAAAUUAUUUUUUUUUAGAA